UUUUCUUCCUUCAGGUGUUCCUGCUCUUAUACCAUUCUGCCUCACUAGAGCCCAGGACUUUGGGUCGAAAUUUGAAAUUAUCCUGUAAUGUGUCUGUCAAAUAGUUUCUCACAGGGACAAAUAAGGAAGACAUUAAAGGAGCAGAAGUAAUGAUUUAGAAAUUCACGUUUCUGGGCUGGUGGAAGAUACUGGCUGCCAAAUCUAACAAGCUGAGAUGGAACCCCAGACUUAGUGGAUUGGCCUCUUAAAGUUGACCUCUGACCACCACAUAUUCAUCAUGGCUGCAUGGACAAUCAGAAAUGUGCAUAAAAGAACUUGUGCUGCAUACAGAAGAUCAACGAUUCUCUUCAGG